AAAAUUUUAGUUUAAAAUUAAAAUAAUUUUUUUACAAAAAAUAGAUAUUUAUUUAAUAAAUUUUA
rnacentral:tRNA from 1 species